rnacentral:lncRNA from 1 species
AUACUGAGUUUAUAUGUUGAUAUAUUUUAAAACUGAAAAUAAUUGGACUGGCAGAUGUUCAAUGGAUAGACACUAUGUUCUGACUAAGGGUAUAAUAUUCAAAUAGAGAUGUGCCUUUUCAAUAUAAUGGAAUUUUAUGCGACUGUCAUACAAGUGAGAGGUUAAGAUAGCUAUAAAACCAGGUUAAAUCCAUAGUUUUCUACAUAAGAAAAUGCCUGUACCAAGUCAGGACUAUGACAGUUGUUAUCCAUUCAUUUGAUGUGUUUGAGCUUUUGAUUUUGCCAUUUGAUAAGGUACUUUCCUUUCCAUUUUGAAUUUUUCUCAGAGUCCAGUAUUUUUGUGAUUUUACUUUUUUUUUCUAUUUUAUUACUGUGCAUAAUAAAAUUACUGAUAUGUGAUAUUAUUGAUCUUGUAUACAUUUUGUAUUUGUAUUCAGGUAGCAUAUUUACUUAAACAGUGAACACUUAUUUAGGCUUAAUCAAACUAAUGCUUUUCA